UUCACGGAGAGUUUGAUCCUGGCUCAGGACGAACGCUGGCGGCGUGCUUAACACAUGCAAGUCGAACGAUGAACCGCUUUCGGGCGGGGAUUAGUGGCGAACGGGUGA
rnacentral:rRNA from 2 species